rnacentral:rRNA from 1 species
CUACGGGGGGCUGCAAUGGGGAAUAUUGCACAAUGGGCGAAAGCCUGAUGCAGCAACGCCGCGUGGAGGAUGACACAUUUCGGUGCGUAAACUCCUUUUAUAUAAGAAGAUAAUGACGGUAUUAUAUGAAUAAGCACCGGCUAACUCCGUGCCAGCAGCCGCGGUAAUACGGGGGGUGCAAGCGUUACUCGGAAUCACUGGGCGUAAAGAGCAUGUAGGCUGGAUGACAAGUUGGAAGUGAAAUCCUAUGGCUUAACCAUAGAACUGCUUCCAAAACUGUCUUCCUAGAGUAUGGGAGAGGUAGAUGGAAUUUCUGGUGUAGGGGUAAAAUCCGUAGAGAUCAGAAGGAAUACCGAUUGCGAAGGCGAUCUACUGGAACAUUACUGACGCUCAGAUGCGAAAGCGUGGGGAGCAAACAGGAUUAGAUACCCGAGUAGUC